AUGCAAACUCGAUCACUAGCUCUGCAUGAUGUUGCAGAAGCAAGGGGAACAGGUUUGCUAAAAUAAACAUGGUCAUAGAACUAUAUUAGCCCAAUAAAUCAAAUGAUUGGGGCUUUUAAUUCUAUACCAUGAUAAGG
rnacentral:snoRNA from 1 species